ensembl:lncRNA
GGUGUUUGCACUUGGACUUGUCUCUGGUGUAGUGGUGUUUGUACUUGGACUUGUCUCUGGUGUGGUGGUGUUUGUACUUGGACUUGUCUCAGGUGUAGUGGUGUUUGUACUUGGACUUGUCUCGGGUGUAGUUGUUUGUAUUUGGACUUGUCUCUGGUGUAGUGGUGUUUGCACUUGGACUUGUCUCAGGUGUAGUUGUGUUUGUACUUGGACUUGUCUCUGGUGUAGUGGUGUUUGGACUUGUCUCUGGUGUAGUGGUGUUUGCACUUGGACUUGUCUCUGGUGUAGUGGUGUUUGCACUUGGACUUGUCUCAGGUGUAGUUUUGUUUGUAUUUGGACUUGUCUCUGGUGUAGUGGUGUUUGGACUUGUCUCUCGUGUAGUGGUGUUUGUACUUGGACUUGUCUCUGGUGUAGUGGUGUUUGGACUUGUCUCUCGUGUAGUGGUGUUUGUACUUGGACUUGUCUCUGGUGUAGUGGUGUUUGCACUUGGACUUGUCUCAGGUGUAGUUGUUUGUAUUUGGACUUGUCUCUCGUGUAGUGGUGUUUGUACUUGGACUUGUCUCUGGUGUAGUGGUGUUUGUACUUGGACCUGUCUCAGGUGUAGUGGUGUUUGUACUUGGACCUGUCUCAGGUGUAGUGGUGUUUUGUAUUUGGACUUGUCUCAGGUGUAGUGGUGUUUGUAUUUGGACUUGUCUCAGGUGUAGUGGUGUUUGUAUUUGGACUUGUCUCUGGUGUAGUGGUGUUUGUAUUUGGACUUGUCUCAGGUGUAGUGGUGUUUGUAUUUGGACUUGUCUCAGGUGUAGUGGUGUUUGUAUUUGGACUUGUCUCAGGUGUAGUGGUGUUUGUAUUUGGACUUGUCUCAGGUGUAGUUGUGUUUGUACUUGGACUUGUCUCUGGUGUAGUGGUGUUUUGUAUUUGGACUUGUCUCUGGUGUAGUUGUGUUUGUACUUGGACUUGUCUCAGAUGUAGUGGUAUUUGCACUUGGACUUGUCUCAGAGGUAGUUGUGUUUGUAUUUAGACUUGGACUUGUCUCUGGUGUAGUGGUGUUUGUGCUUGGACUUGUCUCUGGUUUAGUGAUAUUUGUAUUUUGACUUGUCUGAGGUAGUGGUAUUUGCACUUGGACUUGUCUCUGGUGUAGUGGUGUUUGUAUUUGGACUUGUCUCUGGUGUAGUGGUGUUUGUAUUUGGACUUGUCUCUGGUGUAGUGGUGUUUGUACUUGGACUUGUCUCUGCUGUAAUGGUGUUUGUACUUGGAGUUGUCUCUGGUGUAGUGGUGUUUGUACUUGGACUUGUCUCUGGUGUAGCAGUAUUUUGUACUUGGACAUGUCUCUGGUGUAGCCAUACUUGUACUUGGACAUGUCUCCGGUGUCGUGGAAUUUGUACUUGGACUUGUCUCUGUUGUCUGAUGAGAAAUAAUUCCUUCUUCAGUCUAUUCUUGGACUUGACAAUGAUCUGAAAUGUAGUGAACCUAAAGAGUAUUUAC